rnacentral:rRNA from 1 species
AUUGAACGCUGGCGGCAGGCCUAACACAUGCAAGUCGAACGAGUGGCGGACGGGUGAGUAAUGUCUGGGAAACUGCCUGAAGCAGGGGGAUAACUACUGGAAACGGUAGCUAAUACCGCAUACCAUCAGAUGUGCCCAGAUGGGAUUAGCUCGUGGGGGGGGUAACGGCUCACCAAGGCGACGAUCCCUAGCUGGUCUGAGAGGAUGACAAGCAACACUGGAACUAGGACACGGUCCAGACUCCUACGGGAGGCAGAAGUGGGGAAUAUUGCACAAUGGGCGCAAGCCUAAUGCAGCCAUGCCGCGUGUAUGAAGAAGGCCUUGGGGUUGUAAAGUACUUUCAGCGGGGAGGCGUUACCCGCAGAAGAAGCACCGGCUAACUCCGUGCCAGCAGCCGCGGUAAGUC